rnacentral:rRNA from 1 species
UACGGAGGGUGCAAGCGUUAUCCGGACUCACUGGGUUUAAAGGGCGCGUAGGCGGGCAAGCAAGUCGAAGGUGAAAUCCCACGGCUCAACCGUGGAAGUGCCCCCGAUACUGCUUGUCUUGAGGGAGAUAGGGGCGUGCGGAACUUCCGGUGGAGCGGUGAAAUGCGUAGAUAUCGGAAGGAACACCGGUGGCGAAAGCGGCGCGCUGGAUCUCUUCUGACGCUGAGGCGCGAAAGCCAGGGGAGCAAACGGG